GAUGAACGCUGGCGGCGUGCCUAAUACAUGCAAGUCGAGCGAACGGACGAGAAGCUUGCUUCUCUGAUGUUAGCGGCGGACGGGUGAGUAACACGUGGAUAACCUACCUAUAAGACUGGGAUAACUUCGGGAAACCGGAGCUAAUACCGGAUAAUAUUUUGAACCGCAUGGUUCAUAAGUGAAAGACGGUCUUGCUGUCACUUAUAGAUGGAUCCGCGCUGCAUUAGCUAGUUGGUAAGGUAACGGCUUACCAAGGCAACGAUGCAUAGCCGACCUGAGAGGGUGAUCGGCCACACUGGGACUGAGACACGGUCCAGACUCCUACGGGAGGCAGCAGUAGGGAAUCUUCCGCAAUGGGCGAAAGCCUGACGGAGCAACGCCGCGUGAGUGAUGAAGGUCUUCGGAUCGUAAAACUCUGUUAUUAGGGAAGAACAUAUGUGUAAGUAACUGUGCACAUCUUGACGGUACCUAAUCAGAAAGCCACGGCUAACUACGUGCCAGCAGCCGCGGUAAUACGUAGGUGGCAAGCGUUAUCCGGAAUUAUUGGGCGUAAAGCGCGCGUAGGCGGUUUUUUAAGUCUGAUGUGAAAGCCCACGGCUCAACCGUGGAGGGUCAUUGGAAACUGGAAAACUUGAGUGCAGAAGAGGAAAGUGGAAUUCCAUGUGUAGCGGUGAAAUGCGCAGAGAUAUGGAGGAACACCAGUGGCGAAGGCGACUUUCUGGUCUGUAACUGACGCUGAUGUGCGAAAGCGUGGGGAUCAAACAGGAUUAGAUACCCUGGUAGUCCACGCCGUAAACGAUGAGUGCUAAGUGUUAGGGGGUUUCCGCCCCUUAGUGCUGCAGCUAACGCAUUAAGCACUCCGCCUGGGGAGUACGACCGCAAGGUUGAAACUCAAAGGAAUUGACGGGGACCCGCACAAGCGGUGGAGCAUGUGGUUUAAUUCGAAGCAACGCGAAGAACCUUACCAAAUCUUGACAUCCUUUGACAACUCUAGAGAUAGAGCCUUCCCCUUCGGGGGACAAAGUGACAGGUGGUGCAUGGUUGUCGUCAGCUCGUGUCGUGAGAUGUUGGGUUAAGUCCCGCAACGAGCGCAACCCUUAAGCUUAGUUGCCAUCAUUAAGUUGGGCACUCUAAGUUGACUGCCGGUGACAAACCGGAGGAAGGUGGGGAUGACGUCAAAUCAUCAUGCCCCUUAUGAUUUGGGCUACACACGUGCUACAAUGGACAAUACAAAGGGCAGCGAAACCGCGAGGUCAAGCAAAUCCCAUAAAGUUGUUCUCAGUUCGGAUUGUAGUCUGCAACUCGACUACAUGAAGCUGGAAUCGCUAGUAAUCGUAGAUCAGCAUGCUACGGUGAAUACGUUCCCGGGUCU
rnacentral:rRNA from 1 species